rnacentral:rRNA from 1 species
UACGAGGGGGGCAAGCGUUGUUCGGAAUUACUGGGCGUAAAGUGUGCGCAGGCGGCCGAGCAAGUCGAGUGUGAAAGCCCCGAGCUUAACUUGGGAACUGCGCUCGAAACUACUUGGCUAGAGUGUGGCAGAGGGAGGUGGAAUUCCACGUGUAGCGGUGAAAUGCGUAGAGAUGUGGAGGAACACCGAUGGCGAAGGCAGCCUCCUGGGCCAACACUGACGCUCAUGCACGAAAGCGUGGGGAGCAAACAGG